UACAGAGGUCUCAAGCGUUGUUCGGAUUCAUUGGGCGUAAAGGGUGCGUAGGUGGCAUGGUAAGUCGGAUGUGAAAUCCCGGGGCUCAACCCCGGAACUGCAUUCGAUACUGCUGCGCUAGAGUACUGGAGAGGAGAUUGGAAUUUACGGUGUAGCAGUGAAAUGCGUAGAUAUCGUAAGGAAGACCAGUGGCGAAGGCGGAUCUCUGGACAGUUACUGACACUGAGGCAGCGAAGGC
rnacentral:rRNA from 1 species